AAAAAAAAGAAAAAGAAAAAAGGAACUACAGCCUAUUCAUGGAUACCGAAGACAUCACUUCCACUAUGCUCACCACCAUUUUUGUGUCCAAUAUGACAAAGAAGAUAGCACAUCUAAAUUAUAUUUAAUACAUAAUAGUAUAUUAAAAUAACUACAUUACCUUUAAAUACCAUUUCUCAUACUUAGCUUUGGGCUUGAUUGUAUUUUUAUAACCUUAGGCGUAGCCAGACCUCCAGACUGACGGCUGAAGGUCUGGAAUCCAUGGCAGCUUUCAUUGGCCAAGGCCCACCCAUGAGGCAGUUUGACUGACAUGUCAAACAACCAUUCACAGUUUGUUUUGUUCAUCAUCACGUUUCAGGGCAUGGAAAUGUCACCAAAAUAACAAACCGGUGUGUAAAACUCUCAGACGUAUUUUAAAGAUUCUAUGCCGCGAACUUCAACACUGCAACCCACACAUUCACACCUAUUAUAAACAGUGUUGUACAAAUCUAUCAUGAUCAAUAGUUUAAAAAAAAGAAAAGAAAAAGGAACUACAGCCUAUUCAUGGAUACCGAAGACAUCACUUCCACUAUGCUCACCACCAUUUUUGUGUCCAAUAUGACAAAGAAGAUAGCACAUCUAAAUUAUAUUUAAUACAUAAUAGUAUAUUAAAAUAACUACAUUACCUUUAAAUACCAUUUCUCAUACUUAGCUUUGGGCUUGAUUGUAUUUUUAUAACCUUAGGCGUAGCCAGACCUCCAGACUGACGGCUGAAGGUCUGGAAUCCAUGGCAGCUUUCAUUGGCCAAGGCCCACCCAUGAGGCAGUUUGACUGACAUGUCAAACAACCAUUCACAGUUUGUUUUGUUCAUCAUCACGUUUCAGGGCAUGGAAAUGUCACCAAAAUAACAAACCGCCACCAGAUCCAGUCUGUAUCCAAGUCAGAGGGUCACUGCAGUCACCCGGAUCCAGUAUGUAUCCAGCCCAGAUGGUGGAUCAGCACCUAGAAAGGACCUCUACAGCCCUGAAAGACAGCGGAGACCAGGACUAGAGCCCCAGAGACAGAUCCCCUGUAAAGACCUUGUCUCAGACGACCACCGG
rnacentral:lncRNA from 1 species